rnacentral:misc_RNA from 1 species
AAUUAAUAUCUCGAAACAUUUCAUAACUCAUGCACAUUGCAUUUUAAAUCAUUAAUUUACAAUCAUAAGUUAAUUUACAAAUGCAAAAUCUCAAAAAUAAUAUUAUUACAAUUUUAUCUGUACAACUGCUCAAAUUACAGAGAUACAUAUGCAUACUAUCAUAUUUACAUCAAACUAAACUACUAGGGUAUAGACAAUACCCGUAUAGAAAUUCUUCAACCGUGCUCCUCUCUGACUGUAGCAGCUCACUAUGCUAUGUCAUUUUCUCUAUCUGCGACAGCAAGUUAAAGCUAUCGCUGAGUAUAUAAAUGCUCAGUGGUGCACAAUAAAGAAUAAAAUAUAUAAUAUAAGACAUUUAUGAACAAAUCAUCAUUCAAAAAUCUCAUAAUCGCAUUUCACAAUUUCUUUCUCAAAUUGCAUUUAUAACAAAUCAUAAUUUCAAGCUUAAUAUAGCACAACUUGAUCAAACAAUUUAAUAAACAUAGUGUUGCCAAACAAUAA